rnacentral:rRNA from 1 species
GACGUAGGGGGCGAGCGUUGUCCGGAAUUACUGGGCGUAAAGGGCGCGUAGGCGGCCACUUAAGUCAGGUGUAAAAAACCCGGGCUCAACCCGGGGGAUGCACAUGAAACUGGGUGGCUAGAGGGCAGGAGAGGGGAGUGGAAUUCCCGGUGUAGCGGUGAAAUGCGUAGAUAUCGGGAGGAAUACCUGUGGCGAAGGCGACUCUCUGGACUGACCCUGACGCUGAGGCUCGAAAGCGUGGGGAGCAAACAGG